UCUAAAUCCCAAGAUCAUAAAAACAUCCUUCAGUGUGUAUCGAUCACGCCGACGCCUUCCCACGGUCCUCGCUAGUACCUGAAACACAUACAUAACAACUGUAAGCAUAAAUGCUUAGUGAGUUCCCCAAUAUACAACUUACGCACAUACGCCUUUCCAGGCCCUGACCUAACGGUCCAUGUGUCUCAGGGGACUUCCGUCCCUGCUGGGUAAACCUUCCGGUCCUACCCACGCCGACCUUCCGGUCCAUAACAUAACAUAUUGCCUUCUGGCCCAUAACAUAUCGCCUUCUGGCCCAUAACAUAUUCGCCUUCCGGCCCAUGACAUACAUAGCACAUAUAACAAAUAACUUACCACAUAUAGCAUACAUAUCACAUAUCAUAUCUGACCUUCCGGUCACACAGUCAAACCCUUCCGGGUACAGUAUAGUGAGAAGACUCACCUCGUGAAUGCUGAAAGCUAGCAAAUCCUGAAAUCACUCGUGCACAAUCCGACGAGCUACAACCUCCCUAUAACAUCACAUAUCUCUCAUUAACACUUAUAUCUUCUAAGUGUGACUAUCCCUAAGAAGUCAGACUUAGGUCAACUCUGGUCAACGGUCAACGGUCAACGGUCAACUCGACCGGACUCGGCGAGUGCCAUGGCGACUCGGCGAGUCUAGACGUCCUCCAACUCUCUGAGAUUCCCUAUCUACUCGUCGAGUAUCCUCCUUGACCCGACGAGUUACUCCUGGAAGAAUCGCGGGGCCACCCCGACUCAACUCGCCGAGUCUGAAGAACAACUCGACGAGUCCCAGUUAAUCUUCAAGCUACUCGCCGAGUCUGUUCAUCGAACUCGGCGAGUCCAUGCCAUGCAACCGCUCAAACUGCAUCCUAAGGUCAGAACUGCUUCGACCAUUCCUAGGUCUGGCCUUCCUAGGCUGAUCCAUCACGUAAAGUCCUCAUUUCAGUGCUCAUGAUACACCAUAUGAUUCAUAAUUUACAUUUUGACCUAAGGCAUAAGGAUUCCAAUCCAAAACCUUCAUCAAUUCCCGAAAUGCACAGACAUGGGACAUUCUGGACCUCCAAAGGUCCCAAUACAGGGUUACAAUCGAUUAGGGGACUAGGGUAACAUUCAAUCUAUUCACAAAAGGGUUCCAUAAACCCUAAUUCCAUAAUCACAUCAACAUAGCAGAGUAUACUCGAAUUCUUACCUGGAUGAUGUAUUCUCUGUGUCCCCAAUCCUCAGAAUGUGACUCCCUUGCUGCUCCUUUAGCCAAUCCCUUCUCUUCCUUGCACAACCACUCUUCUAUAAUCAACAAUGGCCUAUAAUCCUUGCUCCAGAUGCACACAAUCGAUUUAGGGUUCUUCUCAGAAGGCUAAAAUGAACAAUGACGGCCAAUAAGUCCCUUUUAUACGUCCCAAACCUGAACGGUUAGGGUUUUCGCUAAACAGCGUAGACUCGCCGAGUCCAUAUCUGGACUCGUCGAGUCCAGUCGCGAACCCGCGACCAAGUCUGCGAUCCUACUCGGCGAGUCUAGGCUCCAACUCGCCGAGUCCCCUCUUAAAUCACCCCAAAAACAUAAUUUAACAAUACCUGAGAUUCCGGGCUGUUACAACUCUCCCCCACUUGGAUUAGACUUCGCCCUCGAAGUCUCACUCUGAAAAUAGUUCCGGAUGCUGCUCCCGCAUCUCACGUUCCGGCUCCCAAGUCAUUUCCGAUCCCUUACGGUGUUGCCACUGAACCAACACCAGAGGUACCUCCUUGUUCCUCAGAACCUUGAUCUUCCGAUCCCUGAUGGCCACUGGUCUCUCAGCAUAAUUCAGGCUCGCAUCCACCUGAAUAUCCUCCAAUGGAACCACUGCCGACUCAUCGGCUAUGCACUUCCUCAAUUGCGACACAUGAAAAGUGUCGUGGAUCUGUCCCAACUCCGCUGGCAACUCCAACCGAUAGGCUACCCGGCCUAUCCUUGCAAUCACACGAAAUGGCCCAAUAUACCGGGGCCCCAACUUGCCCCUCUUCCUGAAUCGAAUCACUCCUUUCCAAGGAGAGACCUUCAGGAGAACGAAGUCGCCGACUUGAAACUCAAGCUCGGAUCGGCGCCUGUCUGCAUAACUCUUCUGUCGGCUCUGGGCGGUCAAUAACCUCUGUCUAACUUGCUGAAUCUGCUCUGUCGUCUGAAGCACGAUCUCCGUGCUGCCCAUCACUCUCUGUCCCACCUCUCCCCAGCAAAUGGGGGUCCGACACCUCCUACCAUACAACAGCUCAAAAGGUGGCAUACCAAUGCUCGAAUGAUGGCUGUUGUUGUAGGAAAACUCUGCCAAUGGUAAAUACGCAUCCCAACUACCCCCGAAGUCUAACACACACGCUCGGAGCAUGUCCUCCAGCGUCUGAAUCGUCCGCUCGCUCUGACCGUCUGUCUGGGGAUGGUAUGCGGUACUAAAAUGCAAUUUAGUACCCAGCUCCUCAUGGAAUUUCUUCCAGAACCUGGAAGUGAAGCGCACAUCACGGUCUGAAACAAUCGAGAUCGGCACUCCAUGCCGAGAUACCACUUCUCUCACAUAUAUCUCCGCCAACUUCUCCGCUGAAGAACUCUCGCUGAUGGCAAGGAAGUGUGCACUCUUCGUCAACCUAUCCACAAUCACCCAAAUUGCAUCAACUCCCCUGGCAGUCCUCGGCAAUUUGGUGAUGAAAUCCAUAGUGAUCUGUUCCCACUUCCACUCGGGAAUCUCCAAUGGCUGUAACUUGCCAUGCGGUCUCUGGUGCUCGGCCUUAACCCUACGACAGGUCAAGCACCUCUCAACGAACCAUGCGACGUCCCUCUUCAUACAGGGCCACCAAUACUCUUUCCUCAAAUCCAAAUACAUCUUCGUAGCACCGGGAUGGAUCGAGAAUUUCGAUCUAUGAGCCUCUUCCAUCAAAGUAAUACGCGUACCGCCCACGAACGGUACCCAAAUCCGACCCUGAAACGUCAGAAGCCCUCGUCCAUCCUUAACGAACUCUGAAAUUAACCCAACAACCCGCUCUUUCUUCUGCAUCUCUGGUCGCACAGCCUCGGCCUGUGCCCCACGAAUAGCAUCCAAUACUGGAGUCAUCACAGUCAGUCUCAAGCAUACAUCUCGCAAUGGAGUGCUCUCCGCCCUGCGGCUCAAUGCAUCGGCUACCACAUUAGCCUUGCCUGGGUGGUACAGGAUCUCACAAUCAUAAUCCUUGACCACAUCCAACCACCUCCUCUGACGCAUAUUUAGGUUGGGCUGAUCCAUCAAAUACUUCAAACUCUUAUGGUCCGUGUAUAUCGUACAUCGAACCCCAUACAGGUAGUGACGCCAAAUCUUGAGAGCGAACACUACUGCCCCCAACUCUAAAUCAUGCGUGGGAUAUCUCGCCUCAUGAGGCUUCAGCUGCCUCGACGCAUACGCUAUCACAUGACCCCUCUGCAUCAACACUGCACCCAGUCCCGAAAUCGAUGCGUCGCAAUAUACUACAAAAUCUUCCAUCCCUUCCGGGAGAGCUAAUACCGGGGCUUCGCACAACCUCUGGCGAAGUGUCUCAAAGGAGGUCUGCUGCUCGGGCCCCCAUGAGAAUGCAACACCCUUCCGGGUCAAUCUGGUGAGCGGCACUGCGAUCUUGGAGAAAUCCUUAAUGAAUCUCCGAUAAUACCCUGCCAACCCAAGGAAGCUCCUGAUCUCAGAGGGUGACUUCGGCACCUCCCAACUCAUCACCGCCUCAACCUUGGCCGGAUCGACCAAUAUCCCUUUCUGAUUAACAACAUGUCCUAGAAAUUGGACCUCCCGCAACCAGAAGUCACAUUUGGAGAACUUUGCAUAAAGCUUCUCCGACCUCAAUACCUCAAGGACCUCCCUCAAAUGCUCCUCAUGCUGCUCUCUAGAUCUCGAAUACACCAGAAUGUCGUCGAUAAAUACAAUCACUGACCGAUCCAACAUCGGCCUGCAUACCCUGUUCAUGAGAUCCAUGAACACAGCCGGGGCAUUGGUGAGCCCGAAAGGCAUCACCACAAACUCAUAAUGCCCAUAUCGCGUCCUAAACGCUGUCUUCUGGACAUCCUCAUCCCGCACUCUCACCUGAUGGUACCCUGACCUCAGAUCGAUCUUGGAAAACCAAGACGCUCCCUGCAACUGAUCGAAUAAAUCAUCGAUCCUCGGUAACGGGUAACGGUUCUUGACCGUCAACUUGUUCAACUCCCGGUAAUCAAUGCACAUCCGGUGUGAACCAUCCUUCUUCUUGACGAACAGAAUAGGUGCUCCCCACGGCGAGCUGCUCGGCCGAAUGAAUCCCUUCCCCAGCAACUCCUGGAGCUGCGAGGACAACUCUUGCAUCUCUGGAGGUGCAAGACGAUAAGGCACCUUAGCAAUAGGCGCGGCCCCCGGAACCAGAUCGAUACCAAACUCUACUUGCCUCACAGGAGGUACUCCCGGCAGCUCCUCGGGGAAAACAUCUGGAAACUCACGCACCACAGGGACCUCCUCAACUGACUUCGGUCUCUCGGAAACCUCCCGCGUAUCCAUCACAUACGCCACAAAACCCUUACAGCCCUGCUGUAGACACUGCCUCGCCCUAGCGGCCGAACAAAAAGCUGAUCCCGAACGGGUACCCUCGCCGUACACCGAAAGAACUCCCCCACUAUGGUCUCGUAUAGUCACCAACUGACGCUCACAGUCGAUGACAGCGCCGAAUCGGCUCAACCAGUCCAUGCCCACGAUGACACAGACAUCACCCAUCGCAAUAGGAAUCAGGUCAAUCGGGAAUUCAACCCCGAAAAUCUCUAGUACACAUCCCCGAAGAACCUCCGUGGCACAAAUCACUUUCUCGUCAGCUAUAGAAACUCUCAAAGGUCGACUCAACGACUCACGACUAACGCUGAUAUGCUGACUAAAGGCUAAGGACACAAAGGACCUACUCGCACCCGAGUCAAAUAACACUAAGGCAGGCACAGAGUUCACAAGGAAAGUACCUACGCGCAUAAUAACAUAAGCAUAACAUAUCGACAUUAAAAUAAUUACAUGAAUUACAACAUACCUGCCACAACAUCGGGCGCAGCGCGGACCUCUUCCGCUGUCAGCUGAAAGGCUCUUCCCCGAGCCCUCGGGGCCUCGGCCUUCACCGGUCGAGUCGCAGUAACUCCGGCAGCAGGUGCAGAUCCCUGAAGAAGCUGAGGGCACUCGGCCUUCCUAUGGCCAGUCUGGUUGCAAUGAAAGCAAACCGUAAAUCCCUUGGGGCACUCCCUAGCAAUGUGCCCCUCCUUGCCACACUUGUAGCAAGCACCAGAUCGACAUACUCCAUCAUGACUCUUGCCGCACUUCCCGCAAGUGCGACCCUUCGAACCUCCUGUCCUCGAAUCAGCGGACUUGGUCCGCUUGGCUGCCGGCUGGAACUGAGCCGGUCGCCGGUCCACCCGCUGAGACUCGGCCUCCUCCCUGGCCUGGGUCUCCAACUCGAUCUCGCGCUUCCUGGCAUUCGCCUGAAGCUCAGCAAAAGUAUGGUAAGUGGAGUUUGACACAAACUCCCGGAUAUCCCUCCUCAACACUCCCAAGUACCGGCUCAUCCGAGCCUGAUCAGUGGACACCAGCUCGGGGCAGAACAUCGCCCUCUCAUGAAACUUCCGCGUGAUCACCGCAACAGAAUCAGUACCCUGCUUGAGGGUUAAGAACUCCUGAACCAAUCGUUCCCUCUCCACCGGGGGAACGUACUCGUCCCUGAACAUAGCAGUAAACCCCUCCCAUGUCACUGCUGUAGUCUCUGCCAAAGUGAAGUUCGCCGUCACGAACUUCCACCAGUCCUUCGCUCCCAGACGGAGCUGGUUCAAAGCGAACCGUACCCUCAGGUGCUCCGGGCAUGAACAAGUGUAGAAGCACCCCUCUAUAUCCGCGAUCCACCUCAUCGCAGCAAUCGGAUCCUGCGUCCCAUCGAACUCUGGUGGCUUCGUGUUGCUGAACUCUCGGAACAGCAACGAGUCACCCCCCUGUGGCCUAGCAGCGGCCACAGCUGCGGUAGCUGCAGCGGUUGCAGCCUCAGUCAAUGCGGCGUACCGCUCAUCAAACGUCUCCAUCAGGGUGGUCUUAAUAGACCCAAACAUCUCCGGGAUCUCAGCCCGGAUCGCCGCAGCUACCUCCUCGUGAAUCAUCUGACGAAUCUCCUCGUCACUCACACCGCUCGAACUCGCUCCGUGGCGUGGUCUAACCAUGAUGUCUCUGAAAUACAACAUAAAACUAUCAGAGACUCCAUCGAGUGUAAUCGCACUCGAUAACGCAACCCUACUCAGUCUCCGAUAUCCAGGGAUUCUUACUUGGGUCUCCCACUGACCCGGUGUCUUCGGUAGUACGGGCCCAAUACUACCGACCACACCGCAUCAGCAUUCAUCCCAAGUCUUCCUCCCCAAACCCCGGAUAGUGAGUACUCUACUUCUGAUAUGCACUAUCUACCCGCACACUAGCAAAGCAUCUCAUAUCGGCAAACUUCCCUAGACUAAGGCAUCACAAAUCAGGCCACUCUAGUCCUAUCAUGAAUACCUAGUCUUCUAGCAUGCAUAACAAUUCAUAUCAUAUAAUAUUGUAAGGUAUUUUGGGGAUCUUUACCGUUCGGGCGCUGACUGAUCGUACACACUGCUUCUUUCUUGCUUACCACAAAACCAUUUACAAAAGUUUAUGCCUUUAUUUAAAAAGUUUUCCUCAAAUCCUCGGUUUGAGUUCAGUUACUCCCGAAGGUGCACCCGAAUCCCUCAAACCAAGGCUCUGAUACCAAUUGUAACAACGCAAAUUUUCAAACAAAUUUUUCAUUUUAAAAAUAAAGUAUUUCCAUUCAAAACAAGGCAUAAAUAAUUUAAGUGUCAUGUCAAAUACAAAUUGUCUAAAUCCCAAGAUCAUAAAAACAUUCUUCAGUGUGUAUCGAUCACGCCGGCGCCUUCCCACGGUCCUCGCUAGUACCUGAAACACAUACAUAACAACUGUAAGCAUAAAUGCUUAGUGAGUUCCCCAAUAUACAACUUACGCACAUACGCCUUUCCAGGCCCUGACCUUCCGGUCCAUGUGUCUCAGGGGACUUCCGUCCCUGCUGGGUAAACCUUCCGGUCCUACCCACGCCGACCUUCCGGUCCAUCACACAACAUAUUGCCUUCCGGCCCAUAACAUAUUGCCUUCCGGCCCAUAAUAUAAUCGCCUUCCGGCCCAUAACAUACAUAGCACAUAUAACAAAUAACUUACCACAUAUAGCAUACAUAUCACAUAUCAUAUCUGACCUUCCGGUCACACAGUCAAACCCUUCCGGGUACAGUAUA
rnacentral:lncRNA from 1 species